ACACAGGGGCGCUUUUAGCUGAGACGGUGCUUUGCCGAACCCUUUGACCUGAUCCGGACAAUACCGGCGUAGGGAGUGUUAUA
rnacentral:ncRNA from 1 species